GUGUUGACAACUUGACAUUAUUUUCUAAAUUUGACCAUCAUCUGCUGCCCUAGAGCGAAACCCAUAUUUAAGCUAGUAGCCGCAAUUUUAUAGACUUUAGUAGAUUUUUUUCAGGUCCCCUUUUUACGUUAUUUUUGGUCCCUUGGGAAAGAUGUCCCACCCAGUUACAUAUCCUUAAAAGAGGCCCUGAGAUUUGAAAAAGACAAAUUCACGAUCCGUGGCACAACAUUAAACACUUUCCAAACUGAACGUUCUUUUUCCCUUUUCAUGGGUUAGGAACCAUUAAACAGCAAGAUAUGAGGACGUUACGUCCUCUGAUUUUGCUGCGACCUCUGAACAAAUCAUAUCCAGACCGGAACCGUAAUCGAACGUCAUUCUUGUGUAUUACUAGGAACAAAACCUUUUUUUCAUUUCUAGUUGAUAUUACCCACUGAACUCAAAACGAACAUGAUCAUAACCAACUCUUUCUCUUAACUUGUACAAUACUAAUCAAUAGGUUUUAUUUUUUCUAUUUUAAAAAAUAUUUUAAUUAAAAUGUGUUUGCCCCAAGGGCGUACACGCUCAUCUAGGGGGCUUACUCGAAAUAAGUUUUUAUCUCAGACUCUUUAAUUUUGUAAAUAUUUAGUAACCAGUAUAACAUUUUUAUAAUUAGUUUUGUAAUUCAUGUUUUGUAAUGCGAUAAUUACAAUUAUUAAAUGAGGUUGAGCAUGAUAUUGAGGCUGAG